GGAGAAGGACGAGACAUGGUGGAUUAGCAUCUUGUGUCACUCUCAGAGGUAGGCCAAAGCAAUGGCUUAGCCCUGCACAUGCGACCACGUAAAAGUGUUCUUUUGCCAUUCUCCUUUCUCUGCCCUUCUUUUUUCCCCCAUUCCUCCCUUUACAGGAUGGUGAACUUUGUCUGCGCUCGUACUGCACGCAAACGCUUAAGCGAUAGACGAAUGAUUCCGGACCUGAUGCAGCAAAUAAAUCCUUCCUCGAUCCCAGCGAGCAGUCAAUGAUUACGAUGCUGAAGAGAAUAGAGAUCCGACUCUGAUCUGUGAUGCUUCCAAUUCACUCUUGACUUUGGUUCGAGCAGCAAGUCGUUGGUAGACUUGAUUAAGAGGUGGAGAAGAAGGGGGAUGGAUGUACAAAAAGCUCGCUUCCAAUCAUGUCAAAUGCGUAUAUUAUUUUGCUUCCACUGGUGGCAUGUGGUUCUGUCAACAAAAACCCAACAAGUGUGUUCAUAGAAGCCAUGUUACUGAGCUUGAAGCAUCAAAGGAAAGGAAAAGAAGAGAGAGAGGAAUGGAAAAGGAGGGAUUUUGGGGCCUACAAUGGCAAUCCACCGGUGCCAAACUACCGCCGGAGUUGAAUUCUGGGCCCGCCGCCAGCGACCAGUUGCCGCAGCGCUUCCUCCACCUCAAUUGGAAGCAGCCGAUGGCCCACGACGCCGACUUCGAGUCGGCGCUCAGCUCGCUCGUCUCCUCGCCGUGCUCCAACCCGCCGGCCUCCGCCGACGGCAGCGGUAUCGGAGAGCUCAUAGGUCGGUUGGGAGGCAUCUGCAACUCCAACGACAUCUCGCCGAGUUCUCGAUACCGUAGUGCUGACGCUUCUUGUUACGGCACUCCGCUGAAUUCCCCACCAAAACUCAAUCUUUCCGUGAUGGAUCACCGGCAGCAGGGAAGAGGAGGGCCACCGAUGCCGGUGAAUCGAGUGCCCGGACCUCAUCUCGGGCCACUUUCGGCCGAACCGGGGUUCGAGGACUGCGCCGCAAGGCUUUCUUGCUUUGCAGGAAGGAGUUCGGGGAGUUUCGCAGGCCAAUUCGGGUUCCUGGAGCCCGGAAAUCUUUCGGAGGCCUCGCGCAGCGAAUCUCCGAAGGCAGGUUUUGGGUCUUGCGUGGGAGUUGGACAGAGCAGGAGCGAACGCCCUGCCCAUCUGGAGACGGAGAUGAGGUCGACAAUUGGUGGAUCUUCGACAGCGGAGGAGUCCGAGCUCGGAAAUGGCCCGGAGGAGUCGUCGUUGUCCCAUCGGAUGACGGCGGAGGCAUCAUCCCUGAGAGGUAUCGCUGACAACAAUUCAGGGAAAUGGAAGACAGCGGCAAAGCGGAAAGGAAGGGAGGCACCUUUAUCUUCUUCUGCCACUAAUCCCCCUGCUAAUAUGACAGAGGAGGAGAACUCCGAUGCAAAGAGAUGCAAAUCGGCUGACAGAAAUGGAGGUGCAAAGAAUGCGGCGGUGAAGCCGAAGACGGAGCAGAAUGGAGAUCCUGGCCACCGCGAGGGCAAGGAUAAUGAUCACAAGCCCCCUGAGCCACCGAAGGAUUACAUCCAUGUGAGGGCGAGAAGAGGACAAGCCACUGAUGCUCACAGCCUCGCCGAGAGGGUUAGAAGAGAGAAGAUCAGUAAGAGGAUGAAGUUUCUGCAAGAUCUUGUGCCAGGUUGCAACAAGGUGACCGGCAAGGCUGUGAUGCUUGAUGAGAUCAUAAACUAUGUGCAGUCACUGCAGCGGCAAGUCGAGUUCCUAUCCAUGAAGUUAACCACCCUGAAUCCCCAGAUGGAUGUUAGCAUGGAAAAUUUCCUGCCAAAAGAUAUGUAUCAAUCUCGUGGACUGAUGCCACAGCCAGUUUAUCCGGCAGAGAUAGGCACAGUGUUGUCGUAUGCUCACCAGCCUCAGACUAUCGCUCUCCAGAGCGUCAUGACAUCCGGUCUCGAAGCGCAAUUCUCCUUGAAUUCAUUACAAUCCUCCUUACGACAGUCUCAGAGUAUGCAACAUGCCACCACGGACGCAUACACAGAUGCUCCCUCUCAGCUUGGGGGUCUUUGGGAGGAUGACCUGCAGAGUGUUGCUCAGACUGGCUUUGGGCAGAACCAUGGCCAAACGCACACUAGUCACAUGAAAAUUGAACUCUGAUCAUGUGAUUUCAGAGUAAAGCCUUCGUAUAUAAAUGAGACGUGCUUUGAAAUAGCAUUGUGAAAUUUUUGCUAAUGACCAUUAGGUCUGCGCUCGUAAUUGAUGUGGAGAUUUCUUUUCAAAAGCACAGGUAAGAUUGUAACAAAUGAAAACAAGACGGUGCAGGAUUUCAGUAUGAAGAUGUGGUUCUGUACUCCCAUAAGUGCCAUGUUCAUAAGUUCAUGAAGGUGUUUUCAUGGUUAUGUGCUGCAACUCUCCUGCUGCUUCCAGCGAUUUGACGCUAUCGCAUAUUUGGACUUUGGACUGCAGUGAGAAUCCAACCAACCUAGACAAGGAUGAGGGCCAUGAUUGUUAGUGGAUUACUGCAUCUUGCUGCAAUUUUUUCGGACAAGCAUCAUGGAGUGUUUUCCCUGUUGAUGUGAUGCCAAUCGAACUAAAAAUCAUCAGAUGUGAUGUUCUGUUUUCGAUCAGGUCCGGAACGUAACACCUUGAGAACAGUUUUGUGUUGGUAAUUAUUCCCUUCAUUAAACAUGAUUGCAGUACUCAGCCAUGAACUCCAUCAGUCAUGUACUAUUGACUGUAUCCUCUCUUCCCUUUCAACUCCACAAGCUGUGGGGUAUUAUCAAAUACUCCAAUCAUCCUAAGCCAUGAAAGACUCAUGAAGCUCAGAAUUCCCAGCAAAUGUCUCUUUCCCUUCGUGAUGUAUCUUUUCUAUUCUUACUUAAGAUCUUGGCUCUUUUAUCUAGUUGCAUAGAUGUAUAGAAGAAUCAUAAUGGUUUCAUGUAGCUGCUGCAUGUUGAUUGGUUUCCCUUAUGCUGGAGAUCAUUUUGAUCUUAUUCUGUGGAGAUUAAACUCUCCCUAUCUGAAACAUAAAGCAGUAACAGCUUUGUUUCCUGAACUUUUUGACAUGAUAGACUCUCCUUCUUCCUGUCCUUCACUGGGAAGAGGCCAAACGAAAGUGUACUGUCUGCAAUGGAGUGGACACUGCUUCAGCUGAUCCACUUAAGACAUUUGCCCCCCCAAACAACAUCUUAUAAAUUUCCAAAACAACAUGUAGAUGCAGACCACAGGAAAAAGCCAAGUGAACAUCUGCUACAGGCAUUUCUCUCUGGCCAUUUCUCUCUUUCAUGGAUCAGGUUGGAUCUCUAAGGAAUGUUAGUCUCUGUGUAGACCAUGUUUUGCCAAUAAGAUUAAGGUAAUGGACAUAUACUUGGAUUCCAUGAUGCUGGAGAUGCUUCAGCCUCACUGUCCAACAUCAGGUCCCUGUCAUGGAUGAGCAAGCUAAAUUCCCAUAUCUUGAGUGUUCAGUGAGACAUCACUGUCAACCAACUGGCAGUGGUGCUGUCACUUGUGGCCAAUCCACUAGUGCCAUUCACAUUGUUACUGUCUGUUUAUGCAACAUGAUUUGGGAGACAUUUCUGAGGUGCUUCAAGUGUCAAGAGGUGUGGAAGAUGAUUAAAUGUACUGGGUGUUGAUAAAGCAGCUUUUGCAACACUCAAAGUUACUCCUUCAUUUGAAAUGGAAUUGGAUGAACUUAUAAAGUA